GAGAAACCAUAGCACAUCGUCUUGAUUGUCCUCUCCCCAGUGACCAAGAGCUAGAGACCCGGCUGUGAUUGUCCUUCUCUGGGUGCUGCCUUUGGAUCGGUGUCAGGCAUGGUGGACCCUCACCACUGGUUUUCUCUUGGACAAUAGGUUGUUUUUGCUUUAUUAGCAGCAAUGAGGUCCCGCCUUCUGCUGCCUGUGCCCCAUUUGCCAACGAUUCGGGAAACUUCAGAGGAGCUAUCGCAUGGGGCACCUGGGCAGGAGCCUCCAGCCUCUCCCAGCCUGGAUGACUAUGUCAGGUGUAUUUGUCAGCUGGCACAGCCUACCUCAGUGGUGGACAAGGCCACAGCCUGGAGCCCUCCCAACAGAUCCUGCCGGCCAGCCUGGCCUAGAGAGAAGAGGCACCAGUCCGAGUCUCUAGAAGAUAGUUCUCCUUGCUUCAGCAGCCUACAGCCCACACUGCCCGCUCCCGGCACUGACAACCCUCUGGACUGGCUCUUUGGAAAGUCACAGGAACAGCAGACAGAUAGAAGAGAUCUACCCAACAGGACCGGUUCUUCAGGUCACUGGGGUGUGCACAGACAGAUGGGCAAGGACUCGGGGAGGCCUUCUGAGGCCAGGGUACCUGAGUACUCCCUGGGAAGAAAGCCAGGGCACAGGCACCAGACCUCCAACCUGAAAAGCUGGACUUCUAGAAAGCCCUGCCAGGCCUUAGCAUCCGUCUCCAGCUCUCGCCCCAGCAGCAUCCUAGGCACUCUCUAUUUGCAUCUCCCAGUGAUUCAUGAACUCUAACCCCUCCCCAGAAAAACUCAUAAAGAACAUGGAGGGUCCUGUGACCUCCCCAGCUUCUCUCUCCUGUGGUGGACACUUCCUGGUCUGCAGGGAUUGGGCAAUUAAUUCCUGGGGAGACCCAUUCUUUAAACGGUGAUGACAGUCUAGCUCCCACAAUGCAGCUUGACUGGUACUGUCUGUUUGUGACUGGCUGGCCCAUGACCUUGAAGUGACUUAGUUUCUCUUCCUUAGUUUUAUCACGGUUAAAGUGAGUGUAGGCGGAAUGACUACCUCUCAGAUUGCUCUAAUAAGGAGAUGCGGGCUGUACUCUGAGUGGCAAGAGUACACAGUUCAGGGUGGCUGCCAUAGUCUCACAAGAAACCAAGGGCAAAGGGGCAAGGGAAGGGUCUCAGCCCCAUAAGGCAGACUUUCAACUGUCCUAAUGUUGUGACCUUUGAAUACAGUUCCUCAUGCUGUGUGAUCCCCAACCAUAAAAUUAUUUUUGUUGCUACUUC
rnacentral:lncRNA from 1 species